CCCCAGGGAGAGUGCAGCUCUGAGGAGGCAGAGGUCAAGUAUGCUCUUCCCAUAAGAUGAGGAUUUGCCUUUUGCCACUUAAUCCAGACAGAGGUUACACAGACAACAAGGAGCUCCUUUGGAGAUGGGAACAGCACUGUCAAGCACUUAAGGCACAAGCAGGUUGCUUCACAGCUUUGCCUCCACCAGGGAGAACUGGACACAGAACAGCCUCACCAGCACAGUGCCUGGAGGUGGAUGUGUUACAGCAGCUCAGCUCAGUGCCUGUCUGCACAGUGCAGGAGCCUUCCAGCAGCACCACAGCAUGUCUGAGAGCACUCCUGCUGCUUUAGCCAGCCUCGGCUGUGGCUCUGCACAGUCUGGUGCUCUUUCCCACAUUCACAGAUUGGUUGGAGGUGGAACGGGAUUUCAGAAGAUCCAGUCACCUCUGUCCUCAGAGUGGGGUGAGCCAGAGCAGGGUGCUCAGGGCUGUCUCUGGUUGAGUUUUGGACAUCUCCAUAGAUGGGACAACCUUUUGCUUUCACUCUCAUCUAACCUCUAGAACAGGAGUCUGCUGGCUUUAUACCCAUGGUGGAUUUGGCACAACUGGAGGAGAUAUUGGUACCUCUUUUGGGGAUGCUGUACCUGCACCAUGAUUCUAUUCAAUCUAAAGGCCCACACAACUCCUGGCUCCAGUUGCACCAGAGCUGCACCAGGAAGAUGCUGACUCCCAAGUUACAUGGCUGUGGUUUAUCAAUUCACAGAGGCCCAGAGUGAAAAGAUGGGGUCUUCCUCCUACUACUGACUGAGCAAAAAGAGUAAUGGUGAAUCUGGCCCAUUCCAUUUUCCUCUGUUUCUUGCUUUCUGUUCAAGGUAUCUGAAUGAGCAGGGGAUCUCAUUUGGCAGGAAAACUUUCCUCUAUCAGAGCUGAUUGUCUCCAAGAUUGAGGAGGACUAACCCCUAUGACUCCUCCAUAAACACCCUGACUCCCCCACGGCCAUCCCUUCCUCCCUCCUGCUCAGCUUACAGACAGUGCAAACCCACGAGGAUCCCAAUCCCACACGCCUGUUUUCACUGAU